ensembl:lncRNA
CUCUAACAGGGGCUAUAUUGCUACAUUGCCAGUCACUGACAGGGCCUGUCAAUCUUCAAGAAUGUCUCAGAGUCGAGAGUCACCUAAAGAAUAGUGGACCCGAAAAUGUCUGUCAGUGUUUGUGAAAAAUGGCUGAUUUUGAAUGGAGUGUUGUCCACAGGGAGAUCAAGAAUGUCUGUGAAAGGUCUGAAAAAGACUCUAAACAGCUUUGAAACUCAUCCUGGACUGGUUCUUUAACAGCACCUGAGGGCGGGAGACAGCAGGUUAUGUGUCCAGGUCUUUCUCGCACACCUUCCUUGACCCCAUCGCUCCCACUGGAGAAGGUAAAGGCCCUUUGUCACGUAAGCAUACACAAGCAGCCCUUGUUUAUUUUAUUGAAUGUUUAUUUCAUUUUUUAACGUGCCACUCAAGGCUCCGAGGAGACGCGUGUGUACCUUUCCUCCACCAGUGUAAACACAGCAUAUUUCGCCACUCGUUUCCCGCUGUAAAAAGUUUAUAUCUGUAAUCUGUUAAGUCAGAUAUUUUAAACAACAUCUCGUCGUGUUUAUAAAUACUGCCGGGCCGCUGUAAUGAAUUUACGGUAAUGCGUUUUUUUUUUUUUUGUCUUCACUAUCACUUCAAACCUUGCGCGGACUAGCCAAACUUAAAUCCUGUAAGAUUGUUUAGAUUUGAAAUGAAAGUAAAACAAAACGACAGAAAUAGAAAAUGUUGGUGUGACAGACAAAAACAACACGAGCGCAAACACUUCUGUGUGUAGGAUGAAGACAAACAAGUGGUGGAAGUGUGUGUAAAUCUGAACUCAUACUGAUGAGGUGAAUGAUGAAGGAUGAACACACUGUUAUAGAUUAUUAUGACCACCGGCACAGUCGUUUUUCACUGUGAAAUAUACACUGCCGAUGAUUUAGAGAUUUUUUUUUUUUGGCUCAUGCAAAGUGUGUAUUUUCAUUUGUCAGUGUGUGCAACUGUAAUAAUACUUUAGGUUGCAUUAACAGACACCGUGCGCAAAUUAUUCUUCAAGUAUUGUUAAAUGUUUGAUAGAGUAGGGUGCUUUCACAGAUUAAUCUUCAAGUAAAAAUAAAUGCUAAAGGGAAUCAGUGGGAGGCUUUUCU